rnacentral:rRNA from 1 species
CCUGCCCCCUCCCCCGGGAUAGCCGCCCGAAAGGACGGGUAAUACCGGAUACCCCCGGGCGCCGCAUGGCGCCCGGGCUAAAGCCCCGACGGGAGGGGAUGGCUCCGCGGCCCAUCAGGUAGACGGCGGGGUGACGGCCCACCGUGCCGACAACGGGUAGCCGGGUUGAGAGACCGACCGGCCAGAUUGGGACUGGGACACGGCCCAGACUCCUACGGGAGGCAGCAGUGGGGAAUCUUGCGCAAUGGGGGGAACCCUGACGCAGCGACGCCGCGUGCGGGACGGAGGCCUUCGGGUCGUAAACCGCUUUCAGCAGGGAAGAGUCAAGACUGUACCUGCAGAAGAAGCCCCGGCUAACUACGUGCCAGCAGCCGCGGUAAUACGUAGGGGGCGAGCGUUAUCCGGAUUCAUUGGGCGUAAAGCGCGCGUAGGCGGCCCGGCAGGCCGGGGGUCGAAGCGGGGGGCUCAACCCCCCGAAGCCCCCGGAACCUCCGCGGCUUGGGUCCGGUAGGGGAGGGUGGAACACCCGGUGUAGCGGUGGAAUGCGCAGAUAUCGGGUGGAACACCGGUGGCGAAGGCGGCCCUCUGGGCCGAGACCGACGCUGAGGCGCGAAAGCUGGGGGAGCGAACAGGAUUAGAUACCCUGGUAGUCCCAGCCGUAAACGAUGGACGCUAGGUGUGGGGGGACGAUCUCCCCGUGCCGCAG